CCCAGCUUCAGUCUGCCAGGAUAGGGUGACAGCAUGGGGCCCAGGACCCACAGGGAGGAGACCAGCAGAGGCAGGUGGGAUCAGGACUUGACCUUCCUCUUUCAAUAACUCUAAAUUAGUUCUUGCUACUUUCACUCGUUCAGGUUGACAGACUCCCUGAGACAUGCAGACGUGACUUCCUAAGCAUCAUUCGUGCGUCCAUCCCAGCCCUGCCGGACCAUGUCUGACCUGGGCUCAGGAUGGCACUGGCACCCAGGGGUGAUUUAGGGGUUAGGUUUCAGCGGGCUCUACCUGAGGUGGGCUCAGGUCACAGAGCACAGCCAGGAAGGAGAACCAAGCUCUUCUAGAAGUGUAUGGAAAGAGUUCCAGGAGGAAGAGCUGCCAGGCUGGGCCUGGAGUUGGCCAGGAUCAAGGCUGGCUGCAACAUUUAUCCAGGCCCAAACCCAACAUAGACGGAGUCCAGCCCCACCAGGCAUGGUAGCAUUUUUUGUGAUCUGGAGUAAGACCCUCUACUGGCAACUUCACUGGAAAUUCCCUGCAGCAGAAGCCCAUUCUCCACACAACGGUGGACUCAGAACGCCCAUGUGCAAGGCUGGCUAUGGACGUGGAGUGGGGUCCUCAGAAGCCCCGAGCUUCCUCUGAAGAGCCUCUUAGAUCCAGGCUUUGGGGCACACACUUGGAGAAUCUCUGCUUUAGCAGGAGGGUUCUAAGGAAGGAAUGAACCUUGUUGGACUCCAGGGGGUCAAGGGGAAUCCUGGAUGUUAGCAUGAGAGCCCCAGAUGAGCCUGAGCUUCUGUUCAGUCCUGCCACCCAUCCUGCCUGGAGAGCCUGGGUCCAGGAAAGAGACCUCUGGAGGUCCUUGCUUUUGCAAAGGAAGCAGUUUUUCACACAGGUAACUUUUUGGACUAGUUGAUUCUAAGCAGACUGAAGACCCAGUCCUGAGUCCCAGUUUCCUGACUGUAUAAUGGGGGUAAAGAGGUCCUUGCCCUGGAAAGAUGAGGCAUUCCUAUCUAGGGUGGACACACGGUGUGUAAUUUCCUUUCUCCUCAUUGGCCCAUGGGGCACGGCUCCGGCCCGCAGAAGCCCUCCCUCACCUGGGCUGCCCACCAUGGGUGUCUGCACCAUGCCACGGGAAGGGUGCAAAGGGGCAUAACAGUGGGUCUUGCCCUGGUGGCUGAGGCAAGCUGGUGCUGGAAUUUUCCUUCUCCCUAACCUCGGGAAAACCAAGGAAUGAAUCAAUAGAAGUCUCGAAUUAAUAGAAUGAGCAAUGCAAAAGAUUGCUGGCCUGGGAAAUUUAAAGUAACAACCCACGAGGCUACCAAGAGUAAAAGUAAACUAAAAAAUACAGUAAUAUAAAAGAACAUCACAUAAAAUAAAUACAAGCUGAGAAACAGUAAAAAUAAGAUGAAAGAGGUUGGCAAGAAAGGGUAGUAAGGAAGACAAAGUAGAGACAGAGAAUUCACAUUCAACUGAAGAGCCAACACAGCGCUGGGAGAACAGACGAAAUAAGCAAUAAACAAGGGUGUUUUAAAAAAAAACCAAAAAACAAAUCUGGCGUGGUGGCUCACACCUGUAAUCUCAGCACUUUGGGAGGCGAGGCAGGAGGAUUGCUUGAGUCCAGGAGUUCAAGACAGCCUGGGAAACAUGGUGAAACCCCAUCUCUACAAAAAAUGAAGAAAAUUAUCUGGGCAUGGUACCAUGUGCCUGUGGUCUCAGCUACUCAGGAGGCUGAGGUGGGAGGAUUGCUUGAGCCCAGGAGGUCUAGGCUACAGUGAGCCAUGAUCACAUCAGUGUCCUCCGGCUUGGGUGACAGAACAAGACCCUGUCUCCAAGAAAAAAUUGAAAACAGGAAAAACCCAAUGGGUUAAGAGAGGAAGGCAGCAGUGAGAUUUUCUGAGCUUGGAUCUUGGCAGAAAGUGGGUUCCCUGGAGCCUGUAGUGACGGAUGAGGCUGGCAGCAAGACCCCUUCCCAGAUGCCUACAGACUCUUCCCUGGGGGCUUGACCUUAAGACCUGGGUUGGCCUCCACCCUGUGUACACGGGACAGCUGGGUUCCAUGCCAAAGCCUGCAGAGAAUUCCCCAGGCUUGGACUUGAUCUUUCUUUGCAGGCAGGGCCUGGGCCGAAUUGUCUUCCAUAUCACUGGUGGGCUCUGUGCUGAGGAGGGAAUGAGGAAGAUAGAGUUUUUGGGCCCUCCCUGGAGACGCAUGGUUCAGGAGGGGCACUUCUGCAGGGGUUGGGCACUGGUGGUUCCACAUCAGGCAGGCAGCUCCUCAGGAUUGUGCCCAGGAGGCAGGUCACUUGGAGGGCCAGGACUCCAGCUGGCUUUUCCUUAGUCCAGCUUUUGGAUGGGGUGAGAAAGAAGGCAAUGGAGAAAGGAAAGGUCUGCAUUUCUGGAAUGACAAAGCUUUAAGUCACAAUGAUUGUAGCUUCCAAGUAGACCACUGAGGCCUCUCUCUGCCUUGACAUUUCAUCUACAGCUUCUGUGGCCAACUACUAGCGUCCAGUGUUGUUUCAGUUGAGAUUCCUGAUGAGCCCAGUUUUAUCUUUUUGCACCCUCCUUCAAUUUCCUUGUGUGUAAAAUGGGAUGACCAUCUCCUCGGUAAGAUGUCAGGUGGUGAGCACAGUGCCUGCAUGUGGUAAGUGCUAAAGAAAAGUAAUUAGAAUCAGUAAAACUGAAGAACUCUUUAGAAAAAGCAGUCACCUGUGCUGGCUGAGCUUGUGUAAAAGAAAGAUUUACUGACUCAGUUUUAAUUUCUGUGAAUACACCUUUGUGUAGUGAGGAGCAAACCAAGAGGACUGAGCCUUGGGCCUGCCAGCAACUCACCUGAUGCCUUUCUCUGGGCCUCAGUUUUUCUCUCUCUGAAGUGGAUGUGUGUCAUAUGACCCAGAGAUUUCUAAUCUAUCUUCUCCAGCUAGAUUCUUGCAUUAGGGGUGAACUUGUUCAUUGGGUAGAGUUGCUUCCCCUGGUUUGGAGAGGCAGCAUUUGCAGCCCCAGAGGCUAUCAGGGAUAAGGGUGUUGGGCCAAGAAUAGCUGGGCCAGGAGCAAUAAACUGUUAAGGGCUUGAUGAGUCUGAGCAACUGACCAAUAACAUCCAAUGCCCCUGGAACCUGGCAACUCCAACUUUAGGUGGCAGAGGAUUAAACACAUUUUGCCUCAAGGUGAGUCUGUACAGGUCCCCAGUGGUCUCUGGGCCUGCCUUCCAGCUCUGUGAGGAACAGGAGCUGAGCAAGUGCCUACAGUCACCACGCUGCCUACAGUGUCCAGGGGAUUCUAGCCUGGAUAGGAAAACUGGCUUGGCUGAGUGGACUGUCCCAGGGUGAGGAUCUGGGAAUGAGCAUAUGGGGAUGGCAGACUACCACACGCCCUGGAAGCUGGAGAGGAAGGAGGCACCCAGGACAGAAGGUGAGGUUGCCCCAGGUCAACAACUUCCAGAUGAGAUCCACCUUGAGUCAUGAUCCUCAGAUGCCAAGCCACAGGAACCUCAUCACCCACCUCAUCAUCCAAACUGGAACUUGAUGGAAAUCAUUCCACAACUAUGUGUUGGUGGGUUGUCUUCUUAAUACUUGGAAGGAGGUCUUAAUACUUAUCCCACUGAAAUCAUGCUACCUACACCUAGCAAAACAUACAUCAAAGAAAAACUUCUAACUGGGUAUAUCACAUGCCCACUGUACUAACACACUGGAGAACCCCCAACAACAGGAGGCCCGGGGAGAGUCCCUGACCCACAGGGACUUCAGGUCAAGACCACACCCACCAUCCUUUCAAGGUGGAGACAGUCCCCGUAGGAACCAAACUGAUGUAUAAUAAAACUCAUCAUUUAUUUCUCUUCUCCCUACAGCAUUUCAGCCAGUGAAUGGUAGAAUUUUGCAGGAAUAAGAAUUAGAGGUGUAGAGGGUUUUGAGAUGCGGGGUGGGUCAGGUUUCACUACUCAAGGACCCUAAGACAGGUUUUUGGAAGAAGUGUGUGUGUGUGUGUGUGUGUGUGUGUGUGUGUGUGUAGGACCACAUUCAGCCACUCCCAUGGGCAAGUAUGACAUAUGACCACUCCUCUCUUCUUGCCCCCUGGCCUCCUUAACCUAGAAGUCACCUUGCUGGCUCAUGGGAUUCCUUGAUACUUCUGCAAUCCAGCUUCUCCGCUCCAACAGGCUGUCCCUGCCCAGCUGAGCUGGCCCACCCAGGG
rnacentral:lncRNA from 1 species